CGGUGGAGCAUGUGGUUUAAUUCGAUGCAACGCGAAGAACCUUACCUGGUCUUGACAUCUUCGGAACCCUGCAGAGAUGGGGUCCGCCGAAACAGGUGUGACGAGCGCAACCCUUGUCCCUAGUUGCCAGCGGGAUGUCAAGUAUCAUGGCCCUCAUGACCAGGCUACAUACAUGGCUGGUACAAGGGCUGCCAACCCGCGAGGGGGAGCCUCCCAGAAAGCCAGUCGUAAUCCGGAUCGGAGUGCAACUCGACUCCGUGAAGUCGGAAUCGCUAGUAAUCGGAAUCAGCAACGUCGCGGUGAAUACGCUCCCGGGUCUUGUACACACCGCCGUCACACCAUGGAAGUUGAUUGCACCAGAAGUCGGUAGCUUAACCGCAAGGGGAGCGCCGCCCACGUGUGGUCAAUGACUGGGGUGAAGUCGUACAAGGU
rnacentral:rRNA from 1 species